GCCUUUGUGGUGUAAUUGCAAGCGUACUCGACUCAUAUUCGAGAGGUUGAGGGUUCGAGUCUCGGCGAGGGCA
rnacentral:tRNA from 1 species